AAUGAACAGAAGCCGGUAGGAGUUUCAAGACUUUUUCCAAAGCCUUCGAGAUUUUUGUGUGAGACGCAAGAUUGCUGGCACGGAUUAACUUGGAUUCACUCAAAAGAAUUGGACUGGACAAUUUUGCUUGAGAAACUAGCAACGCCUCUGUAACCAGGGCAACCAAAACAGUGAUGAGAGGAGCAGAAGAAACAUCUCAAAUGACUAAUGCAAAGGUUGCAGAAAAGGUGCUGUUUUUUGCUGUUCUCCGGACGUGCUGCUGUUCUUUCGGUGGUGGAUCCAGAUCGGGAUUUGGUCAGCAAACUACUGCGGAUACGGAAGCAAAGACCGAGGUCCAGAUCACCCCAACGUUCUGGCUGAAGGUCCCAAGAAGGAGGGGGACGGAGCCUGCGUCGACUGGACCCUAUAAAUUGGUGGAGCACAUCUCACAUGCCGUCCGGCUGGCCGACAAAGGAGAUUCGUGGUAUCAUCUGUCCCAGUAAAGGGUUCCUGCAAGGAACCAGAUCAGCCAUCAACAGUCCCCGCCCCCAGUACAAACAGGGGCAGAAUAAUCUCCUUCCCCCUUGGUGGCCAGGUAGUCCACCCUGAGCCACUGAAGACAACGACCACGCAGCAGAUAUUUCCAAGUUCUCCCCGGACGGAGCAGAUCUGCGAAGGGGGUGAGAAUCGUGCUCACCCUCCACCAGUGGGCGUGCCAAGCCCCCAACGGCUGAACAAUCACGAGCAAUUUUUAUCUUGAUUGAUAACAUUCUGGUCGCCUAAGGCAGAGGGACCGUGUAACUCUUUUCCUGCAUUUAAUCUGGCCGCAGGUUUUUAAAUUACACACACAAUCUGGACUGGAGUAUUGAGGAAAAACCUCAUCGUCACUGGAAGUUAUUGCUUUCAUUGUAUUUUCUUACUUAUGUUUGACUGAUCGGGGUUGACAUAAUCAUAUGAUAAAACAGGAGGGAUAUGUUAGGGUUUGCAGAAUAUCUUCAUCGUAUGAUUAUGUUGGAAUAUAACCUGUAAUAAUUUAACUAGCUUGUCCUGUCUAGACAAAAGUAGUUGACCAAAGUGCUAAGAUCUUUUCAACUGAUUGACUAGACGCAGAGGAAGCAAUCAAAGUUGAUUUGUUUACAGAAAGUCGUAAAAGGCCCCCUGCUAUGCUUUGAUCAGCAGGGGAGCGUCUUCACCCUAUCCUGUGUGUUCCCACACCCCCACUUUCAACCCCACUCUGUUUCUCUCAAUAAAUAAGCACCUGACGAGGCCUGAGUCAGACCUCCAUUCGACCAUCGCUGUAAGCACAGCUAUGAAUGGACUCUCCGCCUGCAGGUGUUUGAAAUGACUUGCUUGACUCCAGUGUGGUUCUUGCAAAAUAAGUUAGAGUGAGCACCACCCUAACAAAAGACAAUUCAUAACGAGCGGCGUACACUAUCUAAACAGAACAGUAAAUACACGAUCUUUUUGGGAAAUGUUACCUGGGUCUGGCCUUGGCUUUCCAGCCAGCGGCAUCGAUUUUGGGUGUCCCUCAGGGUUUGGGACAUAGCACUAAGCUGGGCGGUGACAGCACCCUUCUCCUCUAUUGCUUGCUGUAGCUGUGGAUGGGGACAAGAACAUAAGAGGUUUGCCGCUCCGUUAUUAAUUCAGAAGACCAAACAAUGUGCUGAAACAUUUGCAGCACAACACAAAAUGAAAAAUAUGGCAGGAAGGUUAGUUCACAUUUGAAACAUUAAUAUUAUUCAUAUUUUAUAUCAGUUUAUCAGUAAACCACCAAUCAUGUUACCCCUCCUAGCAAUUAGAAUAGUAUGUAGAGGUGAGUUGUGUUGUGUCAUUAACUGUUUCAAACCUUUGAGUUAAGUUGCUGAAAGUACUGGUCUCGUUGCUGGAUGUCAUACAAGCAGAGUUGCAGCUCUCUGUGCAGCUGGACCCUCUCUGCUUCCAAUCGACUCACCGACUCUUCCAUUUCCUUCUGGCUUACCGGAUUCACCGUUUCCUAAUGAUUAUCCACAAAUAUUAACGGUGAUGAAUGGUUAACCAUAUUGUUAGGGUUUGCAGAAUAUCUUCAUCGUAUGAUUAUGUUGGAAUAUAACCUGUAAUAAUUUAACUAGUUUGUCCUGUCUAGACAAAAGUAGUUGACCAAAGUGCUAAGAUCUUUUCAACUGAUUGACCAGACGCAGAGGAAGCAAUCAAAGUUGCUUUGUUUACAGAAAGUCGUAAAAGGCCCCCUGCUAUGCUUUGAUCAGCAGGGGAGCGUCUUCACCCUAUCCUGUGUGUUCCCACCCCCCCACUUUCAACCCCACUCUGUUUCUCUCAAUAAAUAAGCACCUGACGAGGCCUGAGUCAGACCUCCAUUCGACCAUCGCUGUAAGCACAGCUAUGAAUGGACUCUCCGCCUGCAGGUGUUUGAAAUGA